UACGGGGGGGGCAAGCGUUGUUCGGAAUUACUGGGCGUAAAGCGUGCGUAGACGGUUUCGUAAGUCGGGUGUGAAAGCCCCGGGCUCAACCUGGGAAUUGCAUUCGAAACUGCAAGGCUAGGGUACGGAAGAGGGAAGCGGAAUUUCUGGUGUAGCGGUGAAAUGCGUAGAUAUCAGAAGGAACAUCAGUGGCGAAAGCGGCUUCCUGGUCCAGUACCGACGUUCAGGCACGAAAGCGUGGGGAGCAAACAGG
rnacentral:rRNA from 1 species